UGCCAGCAGCCGCGGUAAUACGAAGGGGGCUAGCGUUGUUCGGAAUUACUGGGCGUAAAGCGUGCGUAGGCGGAUCGACAAGUUGGGGGUGAAAUCCCGGGGCUUAACCCCGGAACUGCCCUCAAAACUGUCGAUCUAGAGUCUCGGAGAGGUUGGCGGAAUUCCAGGUGUAGGAGUGAAAUCCGUAGAUAUCUGGAGGAACACCAGUGGCGAAGGCGGCCAACUGGACGAGUACUGACACUGAGGUACGAAAGCGUGGGUAGCAAACAGGAUUAGAUA
rnacentral:rRNA from 1 species